AUGACUAAGUGGGGGAGGUCCACAACUCAUUUGCUAAAGUGGGUUACAACUCAGAAGUCACCGACUGCCCCCUGGGCAGUCUUAAGCAAAGUUAUAGUCUGUAAUUGGGCCCCAUAAAGUGGAGGAAGGUACAGGAAAUGAUGAAAAGAAGGGUCUUGAAAAGCAGUUGCAACUUUUGUGAAGAGGUCUUCAAGCUCUUUUGAAGUGGGAAUUUUUCUUCUGCAUGGAACUGGGACUCUAGCAUUUAACUGCUCUGGGACCUUCUCUUGGACUUUGGAUUGAUAAGGAACUGAAGCAAAUAGGAAUUGAAUGAGUUGCCUACAGCCACAUAGCUAGCUACUAAGUGUCAGAGGUUGGAACUGUCAACGGGUGGAAUCUAGAAGUCCCCAAACUUGUAGUUUGAUCUUCAAGGGAGAAGCUUGCUAACUCCUAAAUCCAGAGAAUGAACUGUUGCAAAAAGAUGCCAGAAAACCUACACUACAUCAAGAAG